GAUGAACGCUGGCGGCGUGCCUAAUACAUGCAAGUCGAGCGAACAGACGAGGAGCUUGCUCCUCUGACGUUAGCGGCGGACGGGUGAGUAACACGUGGAUAACCUACCUAUAAUACUGGUAUAACUUCGGGAAACCGGAGCUAAUACCGGAUAAUAUAUUGAACCGCAUGGUUCAAUAGUGAAAGACGGUUUUGCUGUCACUUAUAGAUGGAUCCGCGCCGCAUUAGCUAGUUGGGAAGGUAACGGCUUACCAAGGCAACGAUGCGUAGCCGACCUGAGAGGGGGAUCGGCCGCACUGGAACGGAGACACGGUCCAGACUACUAAGGGAGGCAGCAGUAGGGAAUCUUCCGCAAUGGGCGAAAGCCUGACGGAGCAACGCGGCGUGAGUGAUGAAGGUCUUCGGAUCGUAAAACUCUGUUAUUAGGGAAGAACAAAUGUGUAAGUAACUAUGCACGUCUUGACGGUACCUAAUCAGAAAGCCACGGCUAACUACGUG
rnacentral:rRNA from 1 species